rnacentral:rRNA from 1 species
AGGCGACUGGGCGCGGAACCUGAAAACCUGUCUCAGUUCGGAUCGGAGUCUGCAACCCGACUCCGUGAAGCUGGAUUCGCUAGUAAUCGCGCAUCAGCCAUGGCGCGGUGAAUACGUUCCCGGGCCUUGUACACACCGCCCGUCACACCAUGAGAGUCGGGAACACCCGAAGUCCGUAGUCUAACCGCAAGGGGGGCGCGGCCGAAGGUGGGUCCGGUAAUUGGGGUGAAGUCGUAACAAGGUACC